rnacentral:misc_RNA from 1 species
AGUAGCCGUGAACGUGCUUGAGCGUGAUUGACCCGGAGGCGCCCAUCCAAGCACGCGCCAACGCUCUCCGUCCUUUCCGAAGCCCCUACGCCUGCAAGCGCACACAUUUUGCGGACGACUCGCCCCUCUGUGCCCUCCUCUUCCUCCCAAAAGCAGAGGUGAGCCUCCUCGCGUCUGUCUGUGUAGUCGUCGCGACCUGCAUGCGUGUGGCGGUGCACCGCCGCCUCGUUGCCGUGGCGAGCGUUUCCGUCGGAGUACCGCGCCCUCCCAUCCCCAGAGCUCGUGGUGGUCUGUGCCGCUUUCCUGGUGCUCUACCGCUGCACGCAUCAUGUCGGCGACGCCGAAGCUGUACAACGAGGCGGACGUCGCCGCCCUCGUUCGCUCGCUCGACCGGGCCGAGGACCACCACAUCUUCGCUGUAGACGUCCUGGAGACGUACCCGUACUUGGCGGAGUCGUACACGAAGGUCUGCCCACGACGCUGCGAUCUCGCGACCGCCGCGCAGAAGGCACUGGAGGGAGCCUACAGCUACGAUUUGCGUCUGGAAGGGCUCAAGGCCGACAUUGCCCUGAUGGCGUCGAACUGCGUCGCAUAUAACGGCCCCACGAGCGCGUACGCGGAGACAGCGGCGAAGUUUGAGCGCUACGCGCUCGAGCAGAUCGAUGCCUUUGUCUUGGAGCACAACGGCGGGUGCCGCGUGUCGCGUCUGCGUUUGCCGAGGGCGAGCGCGUCGCAAGAGCACGCGUCGGCGGAUGGUACCGCGCCAAAGAAGGGAAGCGCUGGCACGUCGGCGGCGCCCCCGAGUACGCGGGAGAUGGUGCAGCUGGUGGAUUCGCUGAAUAGACGCGAAGACGGCGGCGCCUUCUCCGUAGACGUGGCGGAGGCGUACCCGGACCUGCGCGAUAGCUAUCGAAAGAUUUGCCCACGCCCCAUGAACCUCAUCCUCAUGCGCCAGCGCGCGAAGGAGGGGUACUACACAAGUGGCUCCGCCACUGUCUACGGCGACACCGUUGCCGCGUCCUUAACGAGGCUCCGUGAGGACAUUGAGCUGCUCGUGCGCAACUGCAUCACCUUCAAUGUGAAGGUGGAGUCGUGGGUGACGCUCGCGCGCUCCUUUCAGGCUUUUGCGCACCGCCGCGUGGACGACUUCGUUCUCCGCCACGCCGCUUUUCUGCGCGGCACGACGAUGGGUGCGGAAGUGUACGAGAGUAAAGGCAACGCAUCGACCUCCGCUCCGUUAGCUACGGCAAGCGGUUCUGCGGGCGGUGAUGACGCUGACCGCUCCGGGCAGGCGAGCCCGACAGCCGCGGCCGACACGGUCACGGUAACCAGUGGAGGCAUCGGCGGCAGCGCGGCGGCAGCUGGUUCACGCAAACGCGAGCGCGUGGAUGAGCGUGUCGCCGCCUCUGGCGGCCGUCUUCGCGCCCCUGUCCCAGUCUCUCGGGUGCAGGUCGUAGCAGAGGCAACGCCGCAGGUCUGCCCCACCCCUCUCCAGCCGAGCUUGACGAUCCCGCCGCUGCUGCGGCGUAGGCUGACCAUGGACCACGUGCGCCACACACGACUGCCUCUGCGACGAGUCGGCGUGUCCGUGUUGCGCGACGAGCUGUACCCGCCUGCGGUCUCCCCCGCUGACGUCAAAGCCUCUUCCGAUUCUUCAGCUGCGGCUGGUGGCGCAGAGGCGGCGACAACAUCGACGGCGAUGGUGAACAUCGACGCCUCCUGUAGCGCGAGUCACGUGCUUAAGCUUCUGCGCGAGUCCGUAGUCAAAUUCUUCGCAGCGCAGCGCAGUGGCACGGACUUUGUCGACACGUUUGCCUACUCUGCGCGAGAGGAGCAGUUAUAUCUCUCCGUGCUCGCGGUGGUGGCAGAGAAGUACCAGAGCACCGCGGCGCACCUUCUACUGUACGAAACCGAGUCUGCCGAGCUCCAGGAGUGGGCCGCGCUGCGUGCCUUGGACAGCUGUCGCGAUGCAGGCCGGACGGCCCCGGCGCCUGCCGACGCCGGCGACACUAUUGCGGGCGACCUUCAUUAUCUGUACUUUGUGCGUUUUCUCGUGCAGUGGCCGCAGCUCGCCUCACUGUGCUGCACCACGGCAACCCCCUCGUCAGUCCCGGCCAGCGCGGCAGCUGCGCGAGGGGCGUCUGGGGCGGCGCAGGGCUCGCUGCGCAUCUCGCGCGAGCAGCUCAAAGUUGUGGCGCAAGUGACGCACAUCACGCAGGAAUUUCUUCAGUUUCUCGAGGCCAUGGAGGAGCGGCAGCGCCAGUAACGCGACGGGACAGGACGGCAGGGGCGAGACAAUGGAAGGCCGACGCGAGGCAAGAGCAGCGCAGGAGACAGCAGGGAACGCCGGCAGCACGCACGAAGAGGGGCGUCUGAUUGAAGCACACGAGUGUACCCAAGUACCCACGGACUGCCUCCUCCCCGCACACACCCCUUUACGCAGCGCCUGUCAUUGCGCGCGCCUAGAGGUUGUCCUGUGUGGUUUGAUGGCUGCCGAUUCUGUCGCGCGCGUACGGCAGGGCCGCCCUUCACAGACGCAGGCAGAAGUGACGCGGACCUUUUUUCAUCUCUGUCCACGGCAGUGGCGGGCCAUCUCGCUGCGCCGCACACAGCCCUAAUACAUGUACCUCCAUAGGCGCACCAAC